GGCCUUGUGGUCUAGCGGUAUGAUUCUCGCUUAGGGUGCGAGAGGUCCCGGAUUCGAUCUCCGGCAAGACCC
rfam:Phytophthora infestans T30-4 supercont1.2 genomic scaffold, whole genome shotgun sequence.